rnacentral:tRNA from 1 species
GGGGAUAUAGCUCAGUUGGCUAGAGCGCCAGCUUUGCAAGCUGGAUGUCGUGAGUUCGAAUCUCAUUAUCUCCA